CGAAUCCAAUCGCACUAUCGUCAACGCUAGACACACAAGUAGAAUUUUGUAUUUGAGGCAUGUAGGCAGAGCUUCUGUAGACCUGCUUAUCAUUUUAUCUUUAUAUGCGGAACAAUUUCAAGCAAAAUAUGCCAGAUUAUGAUGGAUGGAUUUGCAUUGGCCUUCGCUUGUGUGCCAACUGCGUGAUGGCCUUGGCAAGGGACUGAGAUACCCAGACCUGGCGGAACGUUGAACCAGCUCGCUUCUUUCCACGAGAAAUAUAAGGGAUUUCAACUUCAUGUGUGUAUUUUUUUUAGAAUAUACAAUGCCUUGAUGGUGCUUUGUUCCGAGGCGCAAGGGCAGCUCAAAGAGUGGCAACAAAGUGGACUUGCUCUCAAUACCAGAGGAUGAAAAUCUGGCAUCGAAGAAGCUCCGUGCAGUCGAGCAUGACCAGGUUACUUCUGAUAAAUAUUGCAAAAUAACAGAUGCAACAAGCCGCUGGGUCUCGAGGACUAUUCUGUCCCUGACUCCAAUUUCGCGGCAUCGAUGGGCGGCAACAGCGCGUCAGGAGCCCGUCUCAACGGCCGCGGCGCCUGGUGCUUCGCGAUGAGUCAGGCCAACGGGCAAAAGGUCACCCUCACCAUUGACCUGGGUCGCGUGGCCCUCGUUUCAGGGCUCCAGAGCCAAGGGCCGCCGCUGAACCUCUUCGACGAACUCUACAACAGACACAUCGGCUUCAGUCUCCUGAACUCGACGUCGACAGCGGGGGAGGAAUUUGACGUUUGCUGCGGGAAGGAGCCCAUGACGUUCCUCGCGGACGACCAGCGAGGAGAAAGCGGCAAGGUGACGACCCAUCCGCUGGGGAUGCUCAUGCCCGCCCGCCGCCUCAGGAUCUCCAUGCCCACGGACAUCAGAUGGCCGGGUCACGACACCAAGUGCUUUCGCUUCGAGGUUCUGGGCUGCCCCGAAGACGUGAAGCCCUCCGCGUCGCUGGCCAUGCGAGCUGUCCCCGGGGGCUGGGUGGUGGCGACGUGGCAGAAACCGACGGUGCUCAUCGCCGCGUCCGACAACACGAAGCCGGACCCGUUCACGCUCGAGGCCGAGAACUAUCUGGCGACGAUGACGAGGACAGGAGGGAAUGACGACGUAGAAGUCAUCCAGAGUAACUCAACGACUCGGCGAUUCAUGAUAACCGGGCCUCUGUGGGGUGCCAUCUACACCAUCGCCCUCACGUGUGACUAUCAGGGCCUGAGCCUGAACUGCGGAGGGUCCACGCUUGAUGCCAAGGUCGUCGGCUGCAACGUCACUGAACAGUCUUGCAGGAUCCAGAAUCAAGUGGUGUUCCGAAGGCCCUCCGAGCUGAAGGCGGAGGUGGUGGGCGAGGGGGAGGUUCAGCUCUCCUGGACCACGGAAAAGGCGGGUUGGGUCACGCCUACGUCUUCGCUGGAGAUCACAGACCCCGAAGGCAACCUGGUGGAUCAGAAAACGCUUUCGAAUAAGAACAACAGCGUGCGUGUGACGGGCGUGUCGGGAGGCAAUAACUACACUGUUACGUUUAUCCCUGAGGCAGACUCGGAGAAUUUGCCUCGAUUCUACUUCAGUCUGCAUAUCAUCGCGUGGAGGGACGUGGCGACCUCGGCGCGCAAGGAGGGCUACGGCGCCUUCGUGACCGACGUGGACCUGAGUGCCACCGUCAUCUGGAACGGCACCUUGAGGGUCACCUGGAUGUCAGCCACGGUCCUGGGCGUGACCUGGAACGGGGACGCUACCACCACAGCCAACGCGGAGGCCACCACUACCACCACGGCCCCACCGACGACGACCACAGUGAUGGCAACGACCACCCUGCCAACUACGACGGAUUCUUCCACGACCACCACCGCCAUCACGACUCAGCCACCAAACACAACAGACGGGACGCAGACGGUCAACAUAAGCACAACGACCUCUCCAAUGUCAUCCACAACAACCACAGCCGCCCCAACCACAACCACUGCAGUCCCCUCGACCACGACCACGACUCCUACAACUACAAGCACGACCACAACCAAGCCAGUUACAGAGGCGCCAUCGCUGUCCGUCGAGCACAACACAGCGAAUGCCUUCAUGUACACCGUCACUCUCUCUUCCGAUAAAGGGGAAGUGGAACAGAACGUGAGCAUGACGAGCAGCCUCUACAUGCGCCACGACUUCUGGUACUUGAGUAUGGAGAAUCAGUACAGCAUCGCCCUUACGUGUCACUUCGGCGGGGUCUCCGUGCAGUGCGGGUCGUACGUCCUUUACGUCGACAAGCCCCUGCAGUGGUCCGACGUGAACGACCGCUUCGUGGUGUACGCGGAGGGGCGUGGCCUCGGCGGCUGGGAGCACCAGGAGAUGGAGUGCAGGAAAGGCGAGGGGACGCUCGUGUCCUUAGCCACGUACGAGGAGGACGAGAGGCUCCUGACGGCUCUCGUCGCCAAGGGCACGCCGCCGCACCUCGACGCCUAUUGGCUGGGACUCAACAUGUGCCCCGACUAUGAUGGCGAUGUGUGGAGUGACGGCUCGCUGUGGCAGCACUCGAGGCUGCCCAACGUGAGGCCCAUGUUGUCCAGCGAGACGUGCUGCAUCAAGGCCGUGUGGAAGCCGGAGGUGCAGAACUACAACUGGCUCGGGGAGAACUGCGAGGCGCUCUUCCCGACCGUGUGCGAGUUCCAUCCGCAAGGUCUUGUGGGCAGGAUCGUCGACCUGCAACGUAGCGACGCGUCUAUCACGGAGGCGGCCGCGACCUGGAAAUACCAACCCGAUUUCUGGACGCCCAACCUCUUCGUCAUCACGACCUGCGAAGUGAUGGACCUCGAGGACCUGGGGACCGCGGAAAGGAAGGCGUCGUCAGAGUGCUUCUUAGGGAACGUCACCAUCAACGCGACGGAGUUCACCCAAGAGAACCUCGACCCUUACACGGAAUACCAAGUCAACGUCAGCGCAAGUCUCACCAGCAUCGGCUACACGGGUCCCUCCUCGGCCGCCUUCGUCAGAACUCAUCCUGAAACACCGGUGAUGGUUCAGGUCCUUCCCUCAGGUCACCUCCGGGUCGUGUGGGCGCAGAAGGUCGCCGAGUUCGCAGAGGACGACAACGUGGUGAUGAAAGUGACCGACGGCGACGGCGAGGAGCGGCAGCAGACGAUACAGGCGAGGGGCGUGGUUCUCGACGGCCUCAAGCUGGGCGCGACCUACACCGUCAAUCUGGAGGAGCUCGGAGGGCGGCGGAGGAAGGAGGCGGCGUCCGUGCAAGCUUACCCCCCGUGCGAGUGUGGCGACGAGUGCCAUCUCCUAGGCUGGUGUUUCGAGCCGUCGCCCGCGAAGGUCAACUCCAUCACGGCGAUCAGGGAGUGCCAGGACGAGGAGAAGAGCCUCGCCACGGUCUCCAGCUCGGAGCAGGUCGAUCUCCUCCUCAAGAUGGCGGACAAGGUCGGGGACGACUUGUGGGUGUCAGAGAGGUCGGAGAGAUUGUCGGCGUCCCGAGAUACUCUCAGACUCUUGGCGGAAGGCGAAGCAGAAAUUCUCGACGACGAGUCUGCCGCCGAACCAACCACCACCAUCCCGAUGCCCUCCCAGUGCCUCGUCGUGUCGCGGGCGGAGAGGGCCGUUGUGGACGAGCCGUGCGCCAAUAUCCACACCGCCGCCUGUGGUCGUAAGGUCCCAGUGGCCAAAGCCUUCCCACCCACGAGCAGCAUGAAGAUCGACGUCGGGGCCAGCUGGAUCUCGCUGGACUGGAGCAACACGGACUGGGUUUGGAAAGCCACGUAUACAGUGUAUUAUCAGAGGACACGAGAGCGGCGUUACAAAAGGGCCCUCAAGUCGAUGGAUUUCGAGGCUCCUCCAGUUCUUAUCAGCAACCUGCAGAAGGAUACUUCCUACACGUUAGAGCUCGUGGCGGACCUCGAUAACGGGUUCUUGUCGUCGUCCAAUGAAUUCGAAGCCUCCACUGCUAACACCAGCGACGGGGCGUAUCCAGAGAGGCUAAAAGUGGGUUGGGCGCCAUCCUGGGACUACCAGAUUCUACAGCUUGUAAGCGCGGCUAUUAUGGUUGCUUCUUGUAUUACUACAAUGCUCCUUUUCUUUGCCACUGGCAUGUUCUACCAGGACUGCGUGGCCCAGCUUGGGUUUCUGGCGACUCUUAUGGCUGCCUACUUCAACCUCAUGCUCGCCCACCCCUCGACAGUCAAUACGGAGAAUGAAACUGGGUGCAUCAUCGUAGCCAUCAUCUUUCACUUCCUGUUCACGUGUGCCUUCAUGUUCCUGAUGCUCGAGGCUCUGACCAUCGCUCACCUUCUCGUUGUUCAGAUUAAGAGUCCGUUCCAGAACUCCAACUGGCUGAUGAUGAUUGUGGGCGUCUUAAUUCCUGCCGUUAUCGUGUGUGUUUCAGCUGCUAUUGUUUAUUCGAAGUACCCGGAUUUCACGAAGCAUAACUGCUGGCUCAACACCGAGAACUCCGCCAUGUGGGCCGAGGCUAUUCCUAUUGUGAUCCUGCUGCUGGCUACGUUGUUCCUGCUCCUUAACACACUGCGUAGUCAGGAGACUCCUCCGGCUCUCAUCGAGGUUGAUCUCCGCGGUAGACAAAGUGAUUCUCACAAGCUACGUUGGGUGGUAUUAGCCAUGGCGGUGGAACUGUUUGUUGUCUGGAUAACAGGGACAACUGCAUACCAAUACCACGAUUCAAGUUUACACGUCGUUUUUAGUGCCUUCACUCUGAUCCUCGCAUUCACCAUAGUAGGCUGUCGAACCACGUUUGAUGACACGUUCCGCACCAAAAUGCAUCGCCUGUGUUGUGGAACCGAACUCACCUACAAGCGCAGCGAAAUCCUCACUCUCAGUGGGAGGUCGCGUGUAGGGCCCUCGCCUGUGCAAAUCAUGAACACCUCAGCGUCCUCGAAGAUGAUCACUCCAGUAGGCAGCAAGCCACCAGUACAAAGCAACACAGCCUCUUCCAUAGACAGACAUUCCCCAGAAGGGGGUUCUCCCACAACUGGCAGAAACACCCCUGCUGUGAGAAGUGCCUUUUCUGCAGGAAGAUUUACUCCUGGUGUAAGAAGUGCGAUUUCAACAGGAAGAAUGACUCCUGGAAUAAGAGGGAGUGCUUCAACAGGAAGAAUACCUCCUGGAAUGAGAGGAAGUGCUUCUUCCUCAAGAAGCAAGUCAGCACUUCAAGGAAGUGCCUCUGCCUCUGGCAGAACUACUCCUGCAGAGCGAGUAAAAACACCCUCAGUGGGUAUUAUGAAUUUCUUUAUCCGUUCAACAGCCUCAAUUGAGGGGCUGUUGAAAUCAGAAAAAGGCUCACGUGCUUUCUCAGCACGAAAAAAUCGGCACUUAUCAGUACCUACGAACACUACGGUAGAUCCUAUGGAAGCCAAAUCUCUUCAGCAAGGAGAAAAGUAGAAGACUCUGAGGCACUCCUGUUCUCUUCGAAGUCCUCAUCAAUAUGUAGAGUUGUAGUCCAGUUCGCUCAGUUCGAUCAGUUCCUUCAUCCAACGUCUCGGCUACUGAGGAGAGGACCAGCCAUGUAACUACAUCAAGUUAUUCACUCCCUAACACACCUCCAGAAGAGAAGACUCAGGA
rnacentral:misc_RNA from 1 species